UACGAAGGGUGCAAGCGUUACUCGGAAUUACUGGGCGUAAAGCGUGCGUAGGUGGUUCGUUAAGUCAGAUGUGAAAGCCCCGGGCUCAACCUGGGAAUUGCAUUUGAUACUGGCGGGCUAGAGUGCGGCAGAGGGGGAUGGAAUUCCGCGUGUAGCAGUGAAAUGCGUAGAUAUGCGGAGGAACACCGAUGGCGAAGGCAAUCCCCUGGGCCUGCACUGACGCUCAUGCACGAAAGCGUGGGGAGCAAACGGGAUUAGAUACCCGGGUAGU
rnacentral:rRNA from 1 species